rnacentral:tRNA from 1 species
GGAGAGGUCGCAUAGUUGGUCUAGUGCGCGCGCUUGGAAAGCGCGUAUGUCAGCAAUGGCAUCGGGAGUUCGAAUCUCCCCCUCUCCG